GAUGCAUGGGCGCAGCCUGAUCCAGCCAUACCGCGGUGGGUGAAGAAGGCCUUCGGGUUGUAAAGCCCUUUUGUUGGGAAAGAAAUCCAGCCGGCUAAUACCUGGUUGGGAUGACGGUACCCAAAGAAUAAGCACCGGCUAACUUCGUGCCAGCAGCCGCGGUAAUACGAAGGGUGCAAGCGUUACUCGGAAUUACUGGGCGUAAAGCGUGCGUAGGUGGUUGUUUAAGUCUGUUGUGAAAGCCCUGGGCUCAACCUGGGAACUGCAGUGGAAACUGGACAACUAGAGUGUGGUAGAGGGUAGCGGAAUUCCCGGUGUAGCAGUGAAAUGCGUAGAGAUCGGGAGGAACAUCCAUGGCGAAGGCAGCUACCUGGACCAACACUGACACUGAGGCACGAAAGCGUGGGGAGCAAACAGGAUUAGAUACCCUGGUAGUCCACGCCCUAAACGAUGCGAACUGGAUGUUGGGUGCAAUUUGGCACGCAGUAUCGAAGCUAACGCGUUAAGUUCGCCGCCUGGGGAGUACGGUCGCAAGACUGAAACUCAAAUGAAAUUGACGG
rnacentral:rRNA from 1 species